rnacentral:lncRNA from 1 species
GUUUAAGGGGCACUGCAAGGCAUACUUGGAACUCUCUGUGUACAUGGGCAGAGUUUGUCAGCAAGUGGGACUCAUGGAAGACAAUCAGGUAUAGGAGGGAGGCAGGAGCAGAUGUGGCUGCAGAAGAGAAGAAAGCAAUGUGACCACAGAAACAGAGAUUGGAGUCAUACAGCUACCAGCCGAGAACACCGGCAGGCAGCUGCCAGAAGAUGGAAGAGGCAAGGAACAGAUUCUCCCCAAGACCAGAAGGAUCCAAUCCUGAUGACACCUUGAUUUUAUUCCUAUAUAACUCAUUUUGAAUUUAUACUUAAUUGUAAUUGUUCUGGUUUCCAGAACUGUAAAAACAAAACAAACAAAAAAACCCAAAAAACAUUUCUAUUGUCUUAAGCCACAAGGUUUGUGCUAAUUUGUUACAAUGGCAAUAGAUAACUAAUACAUGCAUAUUUAAAACUUCUUGGAAUUUUAAGCCUAAUAAAUGUCCAUUAUACAUUAA